rnacentral:rRNA from 1 species
UACGUAGGGUGCAAGCGUUAAUCGGAAUUACUGGGCGUAAAGCGUGCGCAGGCGGUUUUGUAAGUCUGUCGUGAAAUCCCCCGGGCUCAACCUGGGAAAUGGCGAUGGAGACUGCAAGGCUAGAGUUUGGCAGAGGGGGGUAGAAUUCCACGUGUAGCAGUGAAAUGCGUAGAUAUGUGGAGGAACACCGAUGGCGAAGGCAGCCCCCUGGGUCAAAACUGACGCUCAUGCACGAAAGCGUGGGGAGCAAACAGG